CCUACGGGUGGCAGCAGUGGGGAAUAUUGCACAAUGGGGGAAACCCUGAUGCAGCGACGCCGCGUGAGUGAAGAAGUAUUUCGGUAUGUAAAGCUCUAUCAGCAGGGAAGAAACCCACCCUCCGGGGUGGCUGACGGUACCUGACUAAGAAGCCCCGGCUAACUACGGGCCAGCAGCCGCGGUAAUACGUAGGGGGCAAGCGUUAUCCGGAUUUACUGGGGGUAAAGGGAGCGUAGGUGGCAAGGCAAGUCAGAUGUGAAAGCCCGGGGCCCAACCCCGGGAGUGCAUUUGAAACUGUCUGGCUAGAGUGCAGGAGAGGUAAGUGGAAUUCCUGGUGUAGCGGUGAAAGGCAUAGAUAUUAGGAGGAACACCAGUGGCGAAGGCGGCUUACUGGACUGUAACUGACACUGAGGCUCGAAAGCGUGGGGAGCAAACAGGAUUAGAUACCCGUGUAGUC
rnacentral:rRNA from 1 species